rnacentral:rRNA from 1 species
CGGUGGUCAAAGCGAGGAGGCCCCACCCGUUCCCAUACCGAACACGGAAGUUAAGCUCCUUAGCGUCGACAAUACUUGGCGGGUGACUGCCCGGGAAGAUAGAACGCUGCC